UAGGGAAUCUUCGGCGAUGGGGGCAACCCUGACCGAGCAACGCCGCGUGAGUGAAGAAGGUUUUCGGAUCGUAAAGCUCUGUUGUAAGUCAAGAACGAGUGUGAGAGUGGAAAGUUCACACUGUGACGGUAGCUUACCAGAAAAGGACGGCUAACUACGUGCCAGCAGCCGCGGUAAUACGUAGGUCCCGAGCGUUGUCCGGAUUUAUUGGGCGUAAAGCGAGCGCAGGCGGUUUGAUAAGUCUGAAGUUAAAGGCUGUGGCUCAACCAUAGUUCGCUUUGGAAACUGUCAAACUUGAGUGCAGAAGGGGAGAGUGGAAUUCCAUGUGUAGCGGUGAAAUGCGUAGAUAUAUGGAGGAACACCGGUGGCGAAAGCGGCUCUCUGGUCUGUAACUGACGCUGAGGCUCGAAAGCGUGGGGAGCGAACAGGAUUAGAUACCCUGGUAGUCCACGCCGUAACGAUGAGUGCUAGGUGUUGGGUCCUUUCCGGGAUUCAGUGCCGCAGCUAACGCAUUAAGCACUCCGCCUGGGGAGUACGACCGCAAGGUU
rnacentral:rRNA from 1 species